rnacentral:rRNA from 1 species
AUUGAACGCUGGCGGCAUGCUUUACACAUGCAAGUCGAACGGUAACAGGCCGCAAGGUGCUGACGAGUGGCGAACGGGUGAGUAAUGCAUCGGAACGUGCCCAGUCGUGGGGGAGAACGCAGCGAAAGCUGUGCUAAUACCGCAUUGGAUCUCUGGAUGAAAGCGGGGGACCGUAGGGUCUCGCGCUAUUGGCGAGGCCGAUGGCAGAUUAGGGAGUUGGUGGGGUAAAGGCCUACCAAGCCAACGAUCUGUAGCUGGUCUGAGAGGACGACCAGCCACACUGGGACUGCGACACGGCCCAGACUCCUACGGGAGGCAGCAGUGGGGAAUUUUGGACAAUGGGCGCAAGCCUGAUCCAGCAAUGCCGCGUGCAGGAAGAAGGCCUUCGGGUUGUAAACUGCUUUUGUACGGAACGAAACGGUCUGGGUUAAUACCCUGGACUAAUGACGGUACCGUAAGAAUAAGCACCGGCUAACUACGUGCCAGCCGCCGCCUAAGAC